rnacentral:rRNA from 1 species
GACGAACGCUGGCGGCGUGCCUAAUACAUGCAAGUCGAACGCAGUUGGGACGGGUGAGUAACACGUUGGUAACCUCCCAUCAGAGGGGAUAACACUUGGAAACAGGUGCUAAACCGAUACUGAUGGAUGGACCCGCGGUGCCUUAGCUAGUUGGUGAGGUAACGGCUCACCAAGGCCACGAUGCAUAGCGGACCUGGGGGGGGGAUUGGCCACACUGGGAUUGAGAAACGGCCCAGACUCCUACGGGAGGCAGCAGGAGGGAAGCUUCGGCAAGGGACGAAAGUCUGACCGGGCAACGCGGGGUGAGGGAAGAGGGUUUUCGGAUCGAAAAACUCUGUUGUUAGAGAAGCGGUAUCUAACCAGAAAGCCACGGCUAACUACGUGCCAGCAGCCGCGGUAUAC